GAUGAAGAACGCAGCGAAAUGCGAUAAGUAAUGCGAAUUGCAGAAUUCAGUGAGUCAUCGAAUCUUUGAACGCACAUUGCGCCCUGUGGUAUUCCGGGGGGCAUGCCUGUCCGAGCGUCAUUACAACCCUCAAGCUCAGCUUGGUGUUGGGCCCCGCCGCCCCGGCGGGCCCUAAAGUCAGUGGCGGUGCCGUCCGGCUCCGAGCGUAGUAAUUCUUCUCGCUCUGGAGGUCCGGUCGUGUGCUCGCCAGCAACCCCCAAUUUUUUUCAGGUUGACCUCGGAUCAGGUAGGGAUACCCGCUGAACUUAAGCAUAUCAAUAAGCGGAGGA
rnacentral:misc_RNA from 1 species